rnacentral:precursor_RNA from 1 species
UGCCAUUUCUUCCCACAGCUUUCUUGACCCUCUUCUUGCUCUCUCCCUGUAAGCUUCCAUUGAUGAUGUUUCUCCAGUGAUGAAAUGAAUGAGGCACAAGAGAAGUUCAAGAAAGCUGUGGAAAGGAAUGGCA